UCUUCUCCUUUCCUUUUCUUUCCUUAUUUUUCUUUCUUUCCUCCCCUUUCCUUUUCCUUCUUUUUCUUUCUUCCUUUCUUUCUUCUUCUUCCCCUCUCCUUCUUCCCCCCACCAACCGACCACCCUUAAAUUCAAGGGUGGUGCCGCCAACCUGCUUCCCUUGUUUGGUGCCGCCAACCUGCUUCCCUCCACCCAAGGAGUUGUCAAAUCAGUUCAGGUUUUUUU
rnacentral:lncRNA from 1 species